UGACUGAUGAGCUGCUGCUAUAUAUAAAAUGAGGGAGGGAGAGAGUAACCGCACCUCCACACCUCGUCCCAACUACUGAAUGAGCCCCAUACCUUACCCUUCCGAUCUCUUUUCUCUCAACCCACCAUUGAUGCCCUUCAAUUCAUGCCAAGUACUCUCUUCCGAAGAAAGAGACAAGUUCCACUGCCAUCACUUCCCCUACUUGGGAAAGACACAUACAUAUGUGAAGACAUAAGCUGCAGCGGCGUGUUUCUAUUUGUUCUUCUUUUGCUUCUGCCUACUAAGUGAUCGAGCCUAGUGACUGGACAAAGGGAGAAACAAUUGCAUCAUCCCUCACCUUCGCGACCGUCAUAAUUGGCCGCCAUAUAAGGAUGGUGGAGUUUAUGGCGGUCGUGGUGAUCAGGGGGUACGACGCGUAGCAGGACCCGGGGGGAGCGGAUGUGGGAGGUGGGGUAAAGCAGCGCUGACAUGUUCGCCACUCCCCUUCCUUCCUCAUGCUCGUCCGUAUUCCUUCUCUUUUUUUCUUUUUCUUUUUAUGUUCCAUUCUUUCCGAUCAUCUCCUGUUUCUGAGUUAACGCACUUUGGACAUCCUUUUGUGAUCUUAUUCUACUUAGUAAGUAUGCGUGUGUGUAUGCGAAGAAGCACAAUCAAAAUGUUAAUAAAGGUGGCGGAGAUGAUUAGCGGGCCGGAGAAGGAGAUCAUUGGACUUGUCCGGAUGCAUCAAGACCGUGGCCUGAGGCACCUCCUUGCCUUGUUAUUAUCCUCACCCUCGAAGAAGGACACCGUGAGCGACGUCUCUCGGCACCUUUCUCGCCGUCCGCCCGUGAUCCCGGGUGACAGGUCCCGUGAUCCUUCGAACGACGUCCGCCCGUGAUCCCGGGUGGCAGGUCCCGUGAUCCCUCGAACGACGUCCGCCCGUGAUCCCGGGUGGCAGGACCCGUGAUCCUUCGAACGACGUCCGCCCGUGAUUCCGGGUGGCAGGUCCCGUGAUCCCUCGACGUCCGCCCGUGAUCCCGGGGUGACAGGUCCCGUGAUCCUCACCCUCGAACGACGCUACAAGGCGUGGGGGACCCCAGCAGUUUUCUCGCCGUCCGCCCGUGAUCCCGGGUGGCAGGUCCCGUGAUCCUUCGAACGACGUCCGUCCGUGAUCCCGGGUGGCAGGUCCCGUGAUCCCUCGAACGACUGUCCGCCCGUGAUCCCGGGUGGCAGGACCCGUGAUCCUUCGAACGACGUCCGCUCGUGAUCCCGGGUGGCAGGUCCCGUGAUCCCUCGAACGACGUCCGCCCGUGAUCCCGGGUGACAGGUCCGUGAUCCUCACCCUCGAACGACGCUACAAGGCGUGGGGACCCAGCAGCUCCCGUGACGUCGGCUGCCGAGCGAUGACGACGUACGAGCCUCUCUCCCAUCGCACUAAUUACUGUCUUUAAUAUUAAUCUAAUCGAAUGGCAUCCGGGGAUUACACGUCCUCGUCAACCGCCCUCCCUCGGCACCUUCCUCGCCGUUCCCUCGGGCUGCUCCGUCGCGGUCCGGUGGGAGGGGGCGGGCGCGUUCCUGGCCGACCCGCCCGCAUCGUGGGCGGUGGCCAGCGUGUGGAACUCCAAGGAGGUGUUCCCACUGGAGGUGCGGGGGGCAGGGCGGUGGCGGCAAAGGCUGGCGCGGGCGAGCCGCGCGGUGGACCGGGCGCUACCGUGGCUGCGCAUCCCCCGGAGCCGGGGUCCUCCCUCGCCGUGUUGUGCACGUGACAGAGUUCACGGGUGGGAGUUCAGAGGUAUUAGUAACGCGUUCAGAUCUCGGACAUGCAGAGAGGGAUCACGGGAUCUGCUGGGCAGGCGCUCUUUUCCCCUACUUUCGCCACCGUCAUAAUUGGCCGUCAUAUAAGGAUGGUGGAGUCUAUGGCGGUCGUGGUGAUUUACGACGCGUAGCGGGACCCGGGGGGAGCAGAUGUGGGAGGUGGGGUACAGCAGCGCUGCCAUGUCCGCCACUCCCCUUCCUUCCUCAUGCUCUAAGUAUGCAUAUGUGUAUGCGAAGAAGCACAAUCAUAACCUUAAUAAAGGUGGCGGAGAUGAUUAGCGGGCCGGAGAAGGAGAUCGUUGGACUUGUCCCGGGUGCAUCAAGACCGUGGCCUGAGGCACCUCCUUGCCUUUAUUAUCCUCACCCUCGGCGCCGUCUCUCGGCACCUUUCUCGCCGUCCCUCCUUCGUUCUUGAUCCUCACGCGCGGUCGUGGGCCCUGUCCCGCAGGUCCCGUCAUCCCUUUCAUCCGUGAACGGUGCUACAAGGCGUGGGGAUCGGGCGCUACCGUGGCUGUGCAUCCCUCGGAGCUCCGUCACCUUUUUCUUAAAUGAUUAGUGUGUUUGGAGAGAGGCUCGUACGUCGCCAGCAGCCGGAGUCCCCCACCUUGUUGCAGCGUUCACGUAUGGGAAAGAUCACGAUACCUGCGGGACAGGGCCCACGUGCCGUGAUGGAUCACGGGUGAAGGAUGGACGGCGAGAAAGGUGCCGAGGGGCGUCAAUGUCACCGUGUUCUUAUUCGAGGGCGAAGAGGGAUUAAACCGAUUCUGGUGCAGAGGAUAGAGGAGUGAUCUAAGGUGAAGACGACCGAGUACGCGUACAUGGCGGCGGAGAUGGACACCGUGACAUCGACGUUGUCCUCGCCAACCCGCCCUCCGGCACCUUCCUCGCCGUCCCCUCGGGCUGCUCCGUCGCGGUCCGGUGGGAGGGGGCGGGCGCGUUCCUGGCCGACCCGCCCGCGACGUGGGCGGUGGCCAGUGUGUGGAAGUCCAAAGAGGUGUUCCCACUGGAGGUGCGGGGUCAGGGCGGUGGCGGUGGAAGUCCAAGGAGGUGUUAUGGUAAAACUUUUGUUAUUUUUUUCUUUUUUUUUUCAGGUUUGAGAUGGUCCGGUACUUGGCGCCGACAAAGCAAGAGUACUUGGCGCUCUGCGACUAAGGGUAAGGGUCCGGUACUCAUCGCCUGUCAUUGUUGGCCUCCGACUCAACAUUCGGGUCGUUGAGUCUGCGAGAAGGCAUUCGGGUCUUAUCAGGCUCUGGGCGGGCACAAGGCCAGCCACCGGAAGCCUAGCAACGGUGUCAAGGAAACCUCGGCCUCGGGCUCUUCCACGACUAGCGCAAGCGCCUCCACGGCGGCCUCCGG